GCAGUUUGGUAGUACUGAGCUGUCUGCUGGGGUUAAACCAUGACAGUCUUUUUUGGUGCCAAAUGUGGGACUUGAAGGGUUCAAGUUAACAACAGAUUUGAUUGGAUUGGAGUGUGAUAGAUUAAGUUUAUAGUUGUUUAGCUAUUAAUGGGUAGAUUCCUGUGCUUGCCGUGUGGCUUGCUUGCCUUACUAUAAAUUAGAGUCUAGUGCUUGUUAACGGCUGCUUCUUGCUUUCCCUGCUUUCUGGACUGCUGGACUUCUUAUCAUUUUACCCUGCUGUGCCUGGGUGCAUUUUGAUAGCAGCCAUGGCCAUGCGCCUGGACUGGCAGAUGGCCAGGGUAUUACUGCUGUUCCUGUGCUGCUGUGCUGGAGAGGCUGGAACUCCAAUGUGAACAUGAGUCAACGGGACUGUGACCUGGGGAUGAGUCCACGUGGGAGAAGGACACCAGGAGCAUCUAUGGCCUUGGAUAAGCCCUGAAGUGUCUGUGGCUCUGGAUGAGUCCAUGCCAGAGCAGCAGGUGAGUUCCUAGAAGACGAUCGGGGAAGCUGUCACAACCUGAUUGAGGUCAUCCCUGAGUGAUACCUGCAGAAAGACAGUAAUGGAUCACCUGUAUGGCGGUAAAAUCUACAACAAAACCAGAAGGAGUCACUGCGAUCAUGUAUUCUGACCCCUACAGAAGGCUCUGGGUCAAGGCCUGAACCCCAAAAGAACUACACCACAGCUUGUACAAAAACAUCCUGCAUUUUUGGUAAUGGAUAACUUAACUGCAAGCCUUGGGAAGCUGCUCCAACAUUACUCAGGAGAGUGGCUAAGAUCAGAUGGGUUUGUGUGAAAAAAAUUCUUUUGAAUUUGUAAUUACUAUGUAAUUGGAAACGUCUGUAAAAAGAAAGAUAAAAGGGAAGCAUUCACAUGCAUGGGGAGUAGCAUAUAAAGAAUGCAGGUUUCCUUUUAUAUCCCUAUUAUUGUGUUUGAUCCUCUCCAGCUUCUAUAAUUGCCCUCCGUGCGAUUAUCUUCAGCACAAUACAACAUUUUUUAAGUCAGUGCAGACUAAAAUUGUAUUGUAAUACAGCGGCUGCUUUGUCUCAAGUAGACCUUUAGUAAAUUUGUGGUCAGCAGCAGCGCUAUUUGGUAAAUAAUAUAAACCCAUGACAGGUUUGCUCAAAGCAGGAAAAGCCUUAGGGUGACUGAGGUGUAAGAAACAGCUCCGAAUGAGCAAUUAAAAUGGAGGAGGCAUUUAAAUAAUUAACUUGCUUUUGAUAGGAUUUUCCCACUGCAGUGGCAGAAAGGAUAAACAAUUACCAACCCAAACGCUCUUUCUUGCCUGAGCUUUCCCUGACUGUACGAAAUAAUGGGCCUUAACUCCAGGAGGGGAACGGCACUCGGACUAUCCUCAUAGCUGAAGAAGACCAUCAUUUACAAAGG